rnacentral:lncRNA from 1 species
UCGUGUACUGUUUUAUUUAUCCGUUUUGCGGAUUUGGGGCUUUGGGCCCAAUUCUUUUUUUCUAACAUGUGGGUCAAUUUUUUUUUUUGUAACUUAAGCACUCCCAACAAACGAUUGUUACAAUAAUAUCAGAGGCUGCAUUUGAAACAAAUUAAAGUUUGAUCUUUUAAAAAAAUAUUAAAAGAAAAGUAAAUUUUUUAUUCUAUAACCAUCCUCGAC